GACGAACGCUGGCGGCGUGCUUAACACAUGCAAGUCGAACGGUGAAGCGCCUUCCUUUUUGGUGGGUGUGGAUGAGUGGCGAACGGGUGAGCAACACGUGAGUAACCUGCCCCCAUCUUCUGGAUAACCGCAUGAAAGUGUGGCUACUACGGGAUAUUUUGGGUCUGUCGCAUGAUGGGUCUGGGAAAGAUAUUGUUUCGGUGGGGGAUGGGCUCGCGGCCUAUCAGCUUGUUGGUGGGGUGAUGGCCUACCAAGGCGGUGACGGGUAGACGGCCUGAGAGGGUGGACGGUCACACUGGGACUGAGACACGGCCCAGACUCCUACGGGAGGCAGCAGUGGGGAAUAUUGCACAAUGGGCGCAAGCCUGAUGCAGCGACGCCGCGUGAGGGAUGGAGGGCUUCGGGUUGUGAACCUCUUUCGCCAGUGAAGCAGGCCUGCCUCGUAUGGAGGUGGGUUGACAGUAGCUGGAUAAGAAGCGCCGGCUGACUACGUG
rnacentral:rRNA from 1 species